GAUAAGCUAAGUUUAAGCUUUUGGGUUCAUACCCCAAAUAUGGAUUCCCUUUUGACAUUUAUGUGUUUAACCGUGGCACUAAGUUUAUAUGCUUGUGUGGGUUUGACUUUGCUUUUAUGUCAACCCGUAAGUUUAUUUAUCCUGAUUGGAUAAAGGUGUGUAGCCAAUGCUGAAGAAGCGCGUGCCAGCUUUUGCGGUUAUACGUGCGGCAGUAAACUUUUAUUUGGUCUUAAAAGUGGCCAGGUUUGACUAUUCAGGGUAAUAUCUGGUAGUUGUGUGGGCCAUGUAAAAUUUAAGGCUAUUUCUUAGUAAAAAUAGGAUUAGAUACCCUAGUAUGAGGUAGUAAAUAGUUGGGGAGUGCAGCCCUUAGAGGUGUGCUAAAGUUAAAUGGUUUGGCGGCGUCUGAUUGCCUUCCAGGGGGGCCUGUCUUUUAAUUGAUAACCCGCGAUGGUUUUAACUCAGUCUUGAUAUAGUUCGUGUACUGUCGUCUCAUAAGUUUUUGUUAAACUUUGGAAUAUGGUUUAAAUGACAGAUCGUAGUGCGGCUUAUGGCUGAGUUGUUGAUGGGCCACAGUUUAAUGUUUUAAAAUUAUUGGCAUAUUUUGCUGUAAUCGGACUUGGAAGUAAUAGAGUAAUACCCGGACUCUAUGAAGUAGGCUCUCGGGCGUGCACACAUCGCCCGUCGCUCUCAUUUUAGUUGAGAUAAGUCGUAACAUAGCGGCCCAACCGGAAGGUUGGGCUAGUUGACA
rnacentral:rRNA from 1 species